rfam:Ovis aries breed Texel chromosome 8, whole genome shotgun sequence.
UCCCAAGUGGCUCAGUGGAAAAAGAAUUUGCCUGAAGUGCAGGAGACACAGGUUCGAUCCCUGGGUUGGGAA